GCCAGAGUAGCUCAGCGGUAGAGCGCGAACACAACUCCGGACGGUGUUCUCCGGCGCGAUGAGCGCCGGCAGUGAGAUCCGGGGUUACUUCCCUCCUAAGGACGAGGUCGCGGGUUCGAAUCCCGCCUCUGGCA
rnacentral:tRNA from 1 species